rnacentral:rRNA from 1 species
GCAGCAGUGGGGAUAUUGCACAAUGGGCGAAAGCCUGAUGCAGCGACGCCGCGUGCGGGAUGACGGCCUUCGGGUUGUAAACCGCUUUCAGCAGGGAAGAAGCGCAAGUGACGGUACCUGCAGAAGAAGCGCCGGCUAACUACGUGCCAGCAGCCGCGGUAAUACGUAGGGCGCGAGCGUUAUCCGGAAUUAUUGGGCGUAAAGAGCUCGUAGGCGGUUUGUCACGUCUGCUGUGAAAGCCCGGGGCUCAACCCCGGGUGUGCAGUGGGUACGGGCAGACUAGAGUGCAGUAGGGGAGACUGGAAUUCCUGGUGUAGCGGUGAAAUGCGCAGAUAUCAGGAGGAACACCGAUGGCGAAGGCAGGUCUCUGGGCUGUUACUGACGCUGAGGAGCGAAAGCAUGGGGAGCGAACAGGAUUAGAUACCCUGGUAGUCCAUGCCGUAAACGUUGGGCACUAGGUGUGGGGAACAUUCCACGUUUUCCGCGCCGUAGCUAACGCAUUAAGUGCCCCGCCUGGGGAGUACGGCCGCAAGGCUAAAACUCAAAGGAAUUGACGGGGCCCCC